GUCUACAGCCAUACCACCCUGAACGCACCCGAUCUCGUCUGACCUUGGAAGCUAAGCAGGGUCGGGCCUGGUUAGUACUUGGAUGGGAGAGCGCCUGGGAAUACCGGGUGCUGUAGGCU
rnacentral:rRNA from 1 species